rnacentral:rRNA from 1 species
CUGGCGGCGUGCCUAAUACAUGCAAGUCGAACGGUCUUUCUAUGGAAGCUUGCUUCCACUGAGAAGAUAGUGGCGAACGGGUGAGUAACACGUGGGUAACCUGCCCAUAAGAGGGGGGAUAACAUCCGGAAACGGGUGCUAAUACCGCAUAGUUUUCUUGAUCGCAUGAUCGGGAAAGGAAAGACGGCCUUUGUGCUGUCGCUUAUGGAUGGACCCGCGGCGUAUUAGUUAGUUGGUGAGGUAACGGCUCACCAAGACGAUGAUACGUAGCCGACCUGAGAGGGUGAUCGGCCACAUUGGGACUGAGACACGGCCCAAACUCCUACGGGAGGCAGCAGUAGGGAAUCUUCCGCAAUGGACGAAAGUCUGACGGAGCAACGCCGCGUGAGUGAAGAAGGUUUUCGGAUCGUAAAACUCUGUUGUCAGAGAAGAACAAGUUGGAGAGUAACUGCUCCGGCCUUGACGGUAUCUGACCAGAAAGCCACGGCUAACUACGUGCCAGCCGCCGC